CCUACGGGAGGCAGCAGUGAGGAAUAUUGGUCAAUGGGCGAGAGCCUGAACCAGCCAAGUCGCGUGAGGGAUGACGGCCCUACGGGUUGUAAACUUCUUUUGUCAGGGAGCAAUUGGUUCCACGCGUGGGCUUAGCUAGAGUACCUGACGAAAAAGCAUCGGCUAACUCCGUGCCAGCAGCCGCGGUAAUACGGAGGAUGCGAGCGUUAUCCGGAUUUAUUGGGUUUAAAGGGUGCUUAGGCGGAAUAUAAAGUCAGCGGUAAAAAUUCGGGGAGCAACCCCGUCGUGCCGUUGAAACUGAUGUUCUUGAGUGGGCGAGAAGUAUGCGGAAUGCGUGGUGGAGCGGUGAAAUGCAGAGAUAUAACGCAGAACUCCGAUUGCGAAGGCAGCAUACCGGCGCCCAACUGACGCUGAAGCACGAAAGCGUGGGUAUCGAACAGGAGUAGAUACCCGUGUAGUC
rnacentral:rRNA from 1 species